CUUGUAUCCAGAAUAUACAAAGAACUCUUACACCAGGGCCAGCCAGGGUGGCUAAUGCCUGUAAUCCCAGUGCUUUGGGAGGACUAGGCAAGAGGAUCCCAAGGGCCAGGAGUUCAAGACCAGCCUGGGCAAAACACAGCAAGAACCCAUCUCUACAAAAAGUAAAAAAUUAGCCAGGCAUAGAGGCAUGCACCUGUACUUUCCUAUUUUCCUUCCCUCAGAGUUUGAAUGGUAACGUUUAAAUGUCUGCUGCUAUGGAAGCAAGAAAAUUCACUCCCUGUGUGGGUGUGUAUUUAUCCUUAAUUUUUUAACAUGUAUAUACAAUCCAAAAUUUUCCAAUAGUGGUUGUUUAGUUGGCUCUUAAACAAGGAGGCCCUUAACAAGUUUUAACAACCCACUGAAUUGUCCUUGUACCCCACCCAUCUUGUUUUGUUGUCAUUUUAUCUUCUUAAAAAAAAUACAAGCAAAUUUUGAAAAAUCAAUGUAAUUCAAUUUACCAGCUUAUUUUUACCAACUCCAUUGUUUCUUAUAUCCUCAUGACUGUCCUCUGGACUUACAUUUCCUCAGGCUAAACACACACUUCAAUAAUCAUUUUAAUGUGAAUCAAUACUUGCUAAACUCUUGGUACUUCUUUAAAUAUGCCCCCCUCCUACUCUCCAGCCUUACUGUUCAUAAGACCCGCCUUCACGCCAAACCACCUACAGAGCCUAAGAGUAACACAUAUCUAUUUACAUCUGGUAUCCCAUCCCUCCAUGUCCACAUAAUAAAGGCCAUUCAUUUCGCAAAGUUCAACUCUCUUCUAAGAAGCUUUUUCCUGAAGCCCUCUUCUCUCUCCCAAAACAACCUUCUCUUUCACAUAUAAUUACCAUUACUUAUACCAAUAAGAAAAACAUCUCACUGCAUGCAUUUGUUUUAUACGUCCAUCCUCUUCUACAAUACUGUAAGUAGAGCUGGUU
rnacentral:lncRNA from 1 species